rnacentral:rRNA from 1 species
CGUGUCUGCCAGUAGCCUUGUCUAAAUUUACUUGACUCUUGUCGUCUAAGUACAAACGUAAAUCGUCAAAACUUUCAACAACGGAUCUCUUGGUUCUGGCAUCGAUGAAGAACGCAGCGAAAUGCGAUAAGUAAUGCGAAUUGCAGAAUUCAGUGAGUC